GACGAACGCUGGCGGCGUGCUUAACACAUGCAAGUCGAACGGAAAGGCCCUGCUUUUGUGGGGUGCUCGAGUGGCGAACGGGUGAGUAACACGUGAGUAACCUGCCCUUGACUUUGGGAUAACUUCAGGAAACUGGGGCUAAUACCGGAUAGGAGCUCCUGCUGCAUGGGGGGGGUUGGAAAGUUUCGGCGGUUGGGGAUGGACUCGCGGCUUAUCAGCUUGUUGGGGGGGUAGUGGCUUACCAAGGCUUUGACGGGUAGCCGGCCUGGGAGGGUGACCGGCCACAUUGGGACUGAGAUACGGCCCAGACUCCUACGGGCGGCAGCAGUGGGGAAUAUUGCACAAUGGGCGGAAGCCUGAUGCAGCAACGCCGCGUGCGGGAUGACGGCCUUCGGGUUGUAAACCGCUUUCGCCUGUGACGAAGCGUGAGUGACGGUAAUGGGUAAAGAAGCACCGGCUAACUACGUG
rnacentral:rRNA from 1 species